AUGGACUUACGGCUCAUAUUCGUUUUCUCUGCCCUUAUUUUAAAAGGUGUCCAGUGUGAAGUGCAAUUGCUGGAGUCUGGGGGAGGCUUCGUGCAGCCUGGAAAGUCCCUGAAACUCUCCUGUGCAGUUUCUGGAUUCACCUUCAGUGGUUAUUACAUGAGCUGGGUCCGCCAGGCUCCCGGGAAGGGGCUGGAGUGGGUAGCAGCCAUUAGUAAUAGAGGUACCACCUACUAUGCGAACUCUUUGAAGGGCCGGUUCACAAUCUCCAGAGACAAUAGCAAGAACAUUCUGUACCUGCUAAUGAGCAUUCUGAGGAUUGAGGACACAGCAGUGUACUUCUGUGCAAGAGACACAGUGAGUGGAUGUUACUGUGACCUCAAACAAAAAACAGCGCUGUGGGAUACACGGACCAGUAGGGGGCGCUGA